rnacentral:rRNA from 1 species
AGCAGCCGCGGUAAUUCCAGCUCCAAUAGCGUAUAUUAAAGUUGUUGCAGUUAAAAAGCUCGUAGUUGAACUUCGGGGUUCACCCAUUGGUCAGGCUUAAUUGUCUGUACUGGUGAGAUGAAUCUCUACCUUCUGAGGAACUUUCAUGUCAUUAAUUUGAUGUGAUUGGAAAUCAGGACUGUUACUUUGAAAAAUUAGAGUGUUUAAAGCAGGCUAACGUCUGAAUACAUUAGCAUGGAAUAAUGAAAUAGGACGGACUGAUUCUAUUUCGUUGGUUUCUAGGAUCACCGUAAUGAUUAAUAGGGAUAGUUGGGGGCAUUAGUAUUCAAUUGUCAGAGGUGAAAUUCUUGGAUUUAUUGAAGACUAACUACUGCGAAAGCAUUUGCCAAGGAUGUUUUCAUUAAUCAAGAACGAAAGUUAGGGGAUCGAAGACGAUCAGAUACCGUCGUAGUCUUAACCAUAAACUAUGCCGACUAGGGAUCGGACGAAGUUAAUUUAUAAUGACGCGUUCGGCACCUUA